rnacentral:sRNA from 1 species
ACAUCUGCAACCGCACGUCUUGGGUUAGAAGUUCUUGAAGACAAGACACCUAAGUUCGGCGAGUCUAAGUAUUU